UACAUGCAAGUCGAACGGAAACGAUGGUAGCUUGCUACCAGGCGUCAAGUGGCGGACGGGUGAGUAACGCGUAGGAAUCUGCCCAGUAGUGGGGGACAACCAGGGGAAACCCUGGCUAAUACCGCAUAAUCUCUACGGAGAAAAGAGGGCCUCUUCUUGAAAGCUCUUGCUAUUGGAUGAGCCUGCGUGAGAUUAGCUAGUUGGUAGGGUAAAGGCCUACCAAGGCGACGAUCUCUAGCUGGUCUGAGAGGACGAUCAGCCACACUGGGACUGAGACACGGCCCAGACUCCUACGGGAGGCAGCAGUGGGGAAUAUUGGACAAUGGGCGCAAGCCUGAUCCAGCAAUGCCGCGUGUGUGAAGAAGGCCUGCGGGUUGUAAAGCACUUUCAGUAGAGAAGAAAAGCCUAGGGUUAAUACCCCUGGGUCUUGACGUUACCUACAGAAGAAGCUCCGGCUAACUCCGUGCCAGCAGCCGCGGUAAUACGGAGGGAGCGAGCGUUAAUCGGAAUUACUGGGCGUAAAGCGCGCGUAGGCGGCUUUGUAAGUCGGAUGUGAAAGCCCUGGGCUCAACCUGGGAAUUGCAUUCGAUACUGCAGAGCUAGAGUAUGGUAGAGGGAAGUGGAAUUUCCGGUGUAGCGGUGAAAUGCGUAGAUAUCGGAAGGAACACCAGUGGCGAAGGCGGCCCCCUGGAUUGAUACUGACACUGAGGUGCGAAAGCGUGGGUAGCAAACAGGAUUAGAUACCCUGGUAGUCCACGCCGUAAACGAUGUCUACUAGCCGUUGGAAUCCUUAGAGGUUUUAGUGGCGCAUAACGCAAUAAGUAGACCGCCUGGGGAGUACGGCCGCAAGGCUAAAACUCAAAUGAAUUGACGGGGGCCCGCACAAGCGGUGGAGCAUGUGGUUUAAUUCGACGCAACGCGAAGAACCUUACCUACUCUUGACAUCCUCGGAACUCGGCAGAGAUGCCUUGGUGCCUUCGGGAACCGAGUGACAGGUGCUGCAUGGCUGUCGUCAGCUCGUGUUGUGAAAUGUUGGGUUAAGUCCCGUAACGAGCGCAACCCUUAUCCUUAGUUGCCAUCAUUUAGUUGGGGACUCUAAGGAGACUGCCGGUGACAAACCGGAGGAAGGUGGGGACGACGUCAAGUCAUCAUGGCCCUUACGGAUUGGGCUACACACGUGCUACAAUGGGGUAUACAGAGGGUUGCGAAGCCGCGAGGUGGAGCUAAUCCCAGAAAGUAUCUCGUAGUCCGGAUUGGAGUCUGCAACUCGACUCCAUGAAGUCGGAAUCGCUAGUAAUCGCGGAUCAGAAUGCCGCGGUGAAUACGUUCCCGGGCCUUGUACACACCGCCCGUCACACCAUGGGAGUGGGUUGCACCAGAAGUAGCUAGCUUAAAAUUGGGCGGUUACCA
rnacentral:rRNA from 1 species